UACGUAGGUGGCGAGCGUUGUCCGGAUUUACUGGGUGUAAAGGGCGUGCAGCCGGGCUGACAAGUCAGAUGUGAAAUCCCGCGGCUCAACCGCGGAACUGCAUUUGAAACUGUCAGUCUUGAGUACCGGAGAGGUCAUCGGAAUUCCUUGUGUAGCGGUGAAAUGCGUAGAUAUAAGGAAGAACACCAGUGGCGAAGGCGGCUUACUGGACAGUAACUGACGUUGAGGCUCGAAAGCGUGGGGAGCAAACAGG
rnacentral:rRNA from 1 species